rnacentral:tRNA from 1 species
GGCAAGAUGGCCGAGUUGGUCUAAGGCGUGAGGUUAAGGUCCACCUUAAUAUCAAACUGUAGAGUUUCCUCAUCAUCGUAUGAUGGCGUGGGUUCGAAUCCCACUCUUGUCA